rnacentral:rRNA from 1 species
CCUACGGGAGGCAGCAGUGGGGAAUAUUGCACAAUGGGGGAAACCCUGAUGCAGCGACGCCGCGUGAGUGAAGAAGUAUUUCGGUAUGUAAAGCUCUAUCAGCAGGGAAGAAAAUGACGGUACCUGAUUAAGAAGCCACGGCUAACUACGUGCCAGCAGCCGCGGUAAUACGUAGGGGGCAAGCGUUAUCCGGAUUGAUUGGGUUUAAAGGGUGCGUAGGCGGAAGGUUAGGUCAGCGGUCAAAUGUCGGUGCUCAACACUGGCCUGCCGUUGAAACUGGUCUUCUUGAGUGAGCGAGAGGUAGGCGGAAUGCGUGGUGUAGCGGUGAAAUGCAUAGAGAUCACGCAGAACUCCGAUUGCGAAGGCAGCAUACCGGCGCUCAACUGACGCUGAGGCACGAAAGCGUGGGGAUCGAACAGGAUUAGAUACCCUAGUAGUC